rnacentral:rRNA from 1 species
AUGGAAGAAGGUACAGUUUUUGCAUCCAUGAAUGAGUGUAGAAAUGCACUUGUGACAUACUGCAUCAAGGUAGAACGUACAUUCAAAGUUGACAAGAGCGAUCAAGUAUGUUACAGAGUGCACUGUUCGAUUGAGGGUUGUCCAUGGAGGCUGCUCGCAUCUAAAAUGCGAAAUAGCACUAAUGUUCAGGUCAAAGUGAACCCUGUUAAGCACACAUGCCAGGAAUCAACCCUUAGAAAGGAUACAAUCAGUAGAACCAAGUCAAGAUGGGUGGCAGAAGAAGUAAAGAAGUGGGUGAAAGAAAACCAGCAAGUGGGUCCAAAGGAAUUGCAGAAGAACAUCAAAGAUAAAUUCAAGAUAGAUUUACCAUACAUGAGGUUGUUCAAUGUAGAUCCAGCAUUCGGAGAGAGUUUCGAUGAAGGCUUUGAUGAAAAUGUUGGUCAGCAGCCGGUUGCCUCAAUAGAUGAUGAAAAUGAUGGACAGCAGCCGGUUGCAUCAGAUGAGGAUUUUGACGAGGUUCAAAAUGAUGAUGGUCAACAGCCGCAUGAUUUUGACGAUGAUCCAAAAUAUCCUCCAAAUAAUGAUUCAAGUGAGGCUCCAAAUAAUGAUCCAAGUGAGGCUCCAAAUAGUGAUCAUGGUGAUCCAAGUGAGGCUCCAAAUGAUGAUCCAAGUGAGGCUCCAAAUGGUGACCAACCUUCUGUUGUUGUGAGUUCUGCUAGUUCUGUGAUAGGUUUGAAGAAGACGCACAAGGUACCGACAACCAAGAGGAGAAGAGAAGAAGCAAUAAGCACAAGGUGCACGAGGAGCAAAGUGAUGGCAAGAAGCUCAAGGAACAGACAGAAAUGA